CAGCAGCCACGGUAAAACGUAGGUGGCAAGCGUUGUCCGGAAUUAUUGGGUGUAAAGGGCUCGCAGGCGGUUUCUUAAGUCUGAUGUGAAAGCCCCCGGCUCAACCGGGGAGGGUCAUUGGAAACUGGGAAACUUGAGUGCAGAAGAGGAGAGUGGAAUUCCACGUGUAGCGGUGAAAUGCGUAGAGAUGUGGAGGAACACCAGUGGCGAAGGCGACUCCCUGGUCUGUAACUGACGCUGAGGAGCGAAAGCGUGGGGAGCGAACAGGAUUAGAUACCCGUGUAGUCCCUGUCUCUUAUAC
rnacentral:rRNA from 1 species